rnacentral:tRNA from 1 species
AGUACUACGCCGGAUGAACGGAAAUCAUUGAUGUUGAUUAAUAUAGGAUCAUAUAGAAUCUUUAGUGCUA